GUGGCGCACUCUAGGCGGUUCUGGUGCAGCCAGAGCCCGCACCGCAGCGCGCCACCCCGCGAACUCCCGGACCAUGGCAUGGCUGUCAAGCGAACCGGCCGCCGUGGCCCACCGCUCAGCCGCCUACCAGGACUCUGGGCAGCAGCGCUGCUCCAGCUCGGUCUGCAGCGUUCCUCAGUGCCCCCGAAUGUAAGUCAGCGGAGUCAUACUUCUUAUCUGCAGGAGUUAGCGGAAGUGCUGACAAUUGAGAAUGUGGAGUGUUCCCAAGUGCCAGAUGGCCUUUUGGAGAGAAAACUUUAUUUUGGAGCACUUACUGGCCCUGUCUUUUCUAAAUUAAGGGUGGUGAGAUGAUGAGGCGGGGUCAAGAUGGCUGACUAGGUAGAAGCUACCUCGGAUCCCUCUUGCAACAAAGACUCGGAAAAACAAGUAAAUCGACCACAUAUAUGGCAAUCUACAAACCCUGACUAUCAAACACAGAUCUAAAGACUUGACCUGAGUGACAGAGACUGAGAACGAACAACCACGGGGAAGCGACUGUUUUCGGAGCUUGGAGCCAGGGUCCCAGUCAGGAAACCUUGGCGCUGGGCUUUGGACUGGGCGCAGGGGAGCUGAGCACGGCAUCCUGUGACGGCACAAACACGGGACGCAGCCCUACCCACCAGAAUUGACUUCGGGGGAAGCCCAGCCAGUGCAGGCAGGCAGCGCAAUGCAGCGCCGCGGCGACAGGAGAAGUCACCGCGAGGCAGCGACUGGUUCUGGAGCAGGGAGUGCGGAGUCCCAGCCGGGGAACCUUGGCGUGGGGCUUUGGACUGGGAGCGGAGGAACUAACCAUGGCUUCUGAAACAGCGCAAGCACGGGACACGGCCUGACCCUUGGGUGCAGUCUCUACCCAGCCAGUGCACACAGUGGUCGCGCCCCUCGGGAAUCUCAGAUAAAACAGUCAUCCCAAGCAAGAUAAGUAACUUUGGCUAUAUUCUGGGGUGCUACUCUCUCCUAUUUAUCUGUACCCUCCCCUCCCCUUCCCAGGCGGCUUCAUUAACAUUGGAAUUUCCUGAGCCAGAUAGCGAACUACCCUGCCAUUUUUCUUUCUUUUCUUUUGUUCUUUUCCUAACCCAUUCUCCUGGCCUGAGAGAAGCAGCUACAAAAAACCCAGGGACCAAAAAUUCUUCCCUAAUUGGACUAAAAACAGAGAACCAGCUCCAGCCAAGCGUAUGUGAUCCACAGUCUUGGGCUUUCAUCCCUACAGGGAGCAAGGUGGCUAUUAUAAUGGAAAGGCAUUUCUGAUAGGGAUCUGACUGUAAUUGUUUUAGCAGAUUACUGGAAAGACAAGUUUCCCAGGUCUGAUACCUCUGCAUAUUCAACAGAGCCCUCACUGAUCCACAACAGGGAGACAACACAAAAAAGAAAAUUACAGACCUAUAUCCUUCAUGAACAUAGAUGCAAAAUCCUAAACAAAAUUCUAGCCAAUAGAAUUCAACAACAUAUCAAAAAAAUAAUCCACCACGACCAAGUGGGAUUUAUACCAGGUAUGCAAGGCUGUUUUAAUAUUAGAAAAACCAUUAAUGUGAUCCACCAUAUAAAUAAAACAAAAGACAAAAACCACAUGAUCUUAUCAAUUGAUGCAGAAAAGGCAUUUGACAAAGUCCAACACCCAUUCAUGAUAAAACUCUCAGCAAAAUAGGAAUUGAAGGAAAAUUCCUCAACGUAAUAAAGGGCAUCUAUACAAAGCCAACAGCCAACAUCACCCUAAAUGGAGAGAGUCUGAAAGCAUUUCCCUUGAGAAGGGGAACCAGACAAGGAUGCCCUUUAUCACCGCUCUUAUUCAACAUUGUGCUAGAGGUCCUAGCCAGAGCAAUUAGGCUAGACGAAGAAAUAAAGGGCAUCCGGAUUGGCAAGGAGGAAGUAAAAUUAUCUCUAUUUGCAGAUGACAUGAUCUUAUACACAGAAAACCCUAAGGAAUCCUCCAGAAAACUACUGAAACUAAUAGAAGAGUUUGGCAGAGUCUCAGGUUAUAAGAUAAACAUACAAAAAUCACUUGGAUCACCAAAUCAAUACCAUUCACAGUAGCCCCCAAGAAGAUAAAAUACUUAGGAAUAAAUCUUACCAAAGAUGUAAAAGACCUAUACAAAGAAAACUACAAAGUACUAGUGCCAGAAACUAAAAAGGACCUAGUUAAGUGGAAAAACAUACCUUGCUCAUGGAUAGGAAGACUUAACAUAGUAAAAAUGUCUAUUCUACCAAAAGCCAUCUAUACAUACAAUGCACUUCCGAUCCAAAUUCCAAUGACAUUUUUUAAUGUGAUGGAGAAAUAAAUCACCAACUUCAUAUGGAAGGGAAAGAAGCCCCAGAUAAGCAAAGCAUUACUGAAAAAGAAGAAGAAAGUGGGAGGCCUCACUCUACCUGAUUUUAGAACGUAUUAUAAAGCCACAGUAGUCAAAACAGCCUGGUACUGGUACUGGUACAACAAUAGGCACAUAGACCAAUGGAACAGAAUUGAGAACCCAGAUAUAAAUCUAUCCACGUACGAGCAGCUGAUAUUUGACAAAGGCCCAGUGUCAGUUAAUUGGGGAAAAGAUAGUGUUUUUAACAAAUGGUGCUGGCAUAACUGGAUAUCCAGUUGCAAAAAAAUGAAACAGGACCCAUAUCUCACACCAUGCAGAAAAAACUAACUCCAAAUGGAUCAAAGACCUAAACAUAAAGACUAAAACGAUAAAGAUCAUGGAAGUAAAAACAGGGACAAUGUUAGGAGCCCUAAUACAAGGCAUAAACAGAAUACAAAAUAUUACCGAAAAUGACGAAGAGAAACCAGAUAACUGGGAGCUCCUAAAAAUCAAACACCUAUGCUCAUCUAAAGACUUCAUCAAAAGAGUAAAAAGACCACCUACAGAUUGGGAAAGAAUUUUCAGCUAUGACAUCUCCGACCAGUGCCUGAUCUCUAAAAUCUAUAUGAUUCUGUUAAAACUCAACCACAAAAAGACAAACGACCCAAUCAAGAAGUGGACAAAGGAUAUGAACACGCACAUCACAAAAGAAGAUAUUCAGGCAGCUAACAGAUACAUGAGAAAAUGCUCUCGAUCAUUAGCCAUUAGAGAAAUGCAAAUUAAAACUACGAUGAGAUUUCCAUCUCACUCCAACAAGGUUGGCAUUAAUCCAAAAAACACAAAAUAAUAAAUGUUGGAGAGGCUGCGGAGAGAUUGGAACUCUUAUACACUGCUGGUGGGAAUGUAAAACGGUACAACCACUUUGGAAAUCUAUCUGGUGUUUUCUUAAAAAGUUAGAAAUUGAACUACCAUACAACCCAGAAAUCCCACUCCUCGGAAUAUACCCUAGAGAAAUAAGAGCCUUCACACGAACAGAUACAUGCACACCCAUGUUUAUUGCAGCUCUGUUUACAAUAGCAAAAAGCUGGAAGCAACCAAGGUGUCCAUCAACGGAUGAAUGGUUAAAUAAAUCAUGGUAUAUUCACACAAUGGAAUACUAUGCAUUGAUAAAGAACAGUGACGAAUCUGUGAAACAUUUCAUAACAUGGAGGAACCUGGAAGGCAUUAUGCUGAGUGAAAUUAGUCUGAGGCAAAAGGACAAAUAUUGUAUAAGACCACUAUUAUAAGAUCUUGAGAAAUAGUACAAACUGAGAAGAACACACACUUUUGUGGUUA